AGAGAGAGAGAGAGACUAGGCCUAUCUUGAGCAUUUGAAACCAAGAGUUCAUCCCCAGUGACACACUUUUUCCAACAAGGCCACACCUACUCGAGCAAGUUCACACCUCCUAACCCCUGUCAAGUAGUGCUACUCACUAAUGACCAAGCAUUCAAAUCUAUGAGCCUGUGGAGGCCAUUGCUCUUCAAACCACCAUAGGGCUCAUCACUGGAGGCUUAUUUCUCUUUCUCAGCAGUUACUAGUGACAUGGAACUCGUCAUCCUGGUGUAGGGCCUUGUGGAUUUCUCCCGUCCACAUUGACACAUUAACUGCUGUUGUUGGCCAGUCUUGUUUAAAGUGACCGUACUUUGAAGAUUUCAUAGGUGCAGCUUCCCUGUUAUGUACAGGAGACACUGUCUCACAGCUGAUGAGCCUACCAUCUUUCCACCCUGUCUUCCAUUAUUGGACCUCGGUGUUGGAGUCGUGACAUAGAUGUCUCUGUUGAGGGUUGGGCUCCCCAUAGUCAUAGUUCUCUGGUUUGGACCUGUAGUAGACUUUUGUAAUAAUCUCCAUGUGUUGCAGAAAGAAGCAUCUUUGUUGAGGACUGAGAGAUACUCUUACCUAUGGGUGGUAAGACAAGAGUGGAGAUUUCCAAGCCCCUUGCCUGCUGGACCAGAAAUCACUGGACUCAAAGCUUUGCAAGACAACGAGAAAGUCCUCUGAGAGCUGCACCCUGAUUCCUAAUCCCUCACCUUGCUAGCGACGCCUCCCUUCUCCUAGUUCAUCGGCUAACAUAAAUCAUAUGGCCAUGCUCGAUUUGUAAGAUCUAAGGAAAUAAAACCCUUCUUUGUUGGUGGAAGAAGAGAAGAACCAGAAUCAUCGUUAGAGAGGGUUAAUGAUGGAAACCAGAGUGCACUCUGUAAGAUGCUAUUUCUGACUCCAUGCCUCUCUCUCACUACCUCCUAUUUUCUCCUUCAGAUUUCCUAGAAUCAUAUUAGACCAUGCAUUGUUAACAUGCUCACUGUGCAGAAGCUCUGUUUGUUGUUUGUCCCUCCCCGCUCUACCAGUGUGAGCACCACAGGACUAGAAACCAUGUCUAUUCUGUUCUCACUUUAUCCCCAGAGUCCAGAUUAUUCCAGGGCUCUUAUUUGGCUAAUGAAUUAGGAGAUGUGUCUUUGUUUAAAUUCUGAGAACUCUGGAAAACAAAAUGGAAUUGUUGUUUGAACUUUUACUAUCAGUUGCACUGGGCUCAGAAGCAGUCUCCAGCAGAGAUGAAGCUGCACGAAGCUUGUGUAGACUUUGUCAGACUGGGCAAGUGCAGGCUUUGCCAUCAGACACCAAGGAAAGGAUGAAAAAGGCUCAGAAGUUAGUUCCCCAGGAACAUGGGGCUAGUUAAGGCAAGGGUAUACAUAGCCUGAGGGAAAAUGAGCUGGGAAAUGAGUUUUGGCUUUUAAACAACACAGGCAAACAGUGUCAAUAAUUUGAAAAACAGAACUCUUCCAUUCAAGAAUUGUCAUGUCAGGCUAUCUUUGAAGUCAAGGGUAUGCAGGUCUCAUUUCUUACUGAUGAGCAAAGAUGCAGGUACCUCUCGCAUAUGAAAUGCAGACACAUAGCUGGGAACACUCUCUUUCCAAGGAGGAGCGGAAGGUACUGGGGUGGUGGACGCUUGCUUCCUGCUGUUUCAAUGACAUGGUCGCCAUGCAUUUUGAGGCUUAUCAUUUUCUCUGUGCUUAAUGAGUGCAUUCAGGCAUGUAAUGAGGAACACCACCACCACACAAACAGUUCAUGGAAACCCAUAGAUAUGCCUGUUUUUAUCAAUUAUAUUAUUCAGUAGAGUAAAUUUGCAGUUUAUUUUAAAAAGCAGACAGAUUGACUGACAUCUGGAGUGCUGGCAUAUUGGCACUCAUGAUUCGACAGCUGUGGUAUAAUCUUAAAUUGCUGGGAUUUUGCUACACCAGGUAUAUAGUUUUACUGCUUGCAAAAGAAAAAAUGUUAGAGUCAUGUUGCUUCCUAUUACAAGUCUUCUGGUGGAAAAUUUAUAAUAAUCUUAAAGUAUUGGACAUUCAAAUCAUGACUUUCUACAGCAAAUGGCUUUCAUUUUAACCAGCACUGACCUCAGCAAAUGGGAAAGAUGUGGUCAAGAAUGUCUAAGUUCAUCCCAUUGUGGACUUGAACUCUGCCGGCUACUCAAGCAUUGACUGAUUGAAGUAUUUCACUGGUCUUUCCCCUAGUUCAUCAAGGUGACUUUUAGAGCUUACUGAGUAUGAUUAUAGAUAUCCUCCCUGAUCUGUACAUCUCUGGGAAAAGAGUUGGUCAACGUUCUUACUCCCAUUUUUAGAUGUGGUUCUGGGGAGUUGAGGUGAAGAAGACUGGGAUCUUGACUCUGAGCACAGAACUUCUUUUUCAUUAAGCAGCAAUGAAACCCAGCCUUCUGCUUCCUAACCUUCAACCCGAGGACCAACAUUUUAAGUUUUCCAGCUGAGCAAGGUUGUUGUAGGGAUGACAACUGAGAGUUGAGCUUUAAAUACUGUGAGUAGUAUAAGCCAUAAAAGCUCGCUUUUGUUAGCUCCAACUUUUCUUAGAAAUAAUAAUAUCAGUGGACAAGCCAUUCCCUGACUUUUUCAACAGAGAAUUUCCAACACUGUCACACAUGUACAGAGCUGUCUGUUAACAUGUGAAUGUCGAGGAAUGCAGUCCCUUAAAGGAAAUGAGGUUGGCCGUUUAGAAAUAUGGAACUACAGUUUGGCUCUCUCCACGCACCGUUAUUAAACUUAGUGUUUUAAAAUGACAUUUGUUGUUUUGCUUCAAUGACAUAUUUUUCUUUACUUGAUUAAGCUUUGAAAUGUGGAAAGGAAUAUAAUUUUCAAGACAAAAGCAUAGAACAAAUGGCAGCUCUAUAUUCCAAAAUAUGUUAUGAAUGAGGUCUAGUUUUUUUUUUAGAAAAGAAAAUAUAAACCCUACAUUAGAGAGAUUUUUAUUGCAGGACCUGCAAUCUAUAGCCUAAAUAAUCAAGGAAUUUUAGACAAGCAAAAAAAGUCAUGUGAUGGAUAUGCUCCAAUAAAACUAUUUGCUCACAGAAUUAUCAAUUUCAUAUCAUUGGCAAAUGUCAUGAAAUACUAUUAAUCCUUUACUUUUUCUACUCCAUUUGAAGAAGGAAAAAUUGUUUGCAUUUUCAGUUCUUAGCCCAUGGCUGGGAUCAGUGCUGCAUUGCAGGACAGUUGCUCAUUAGCACCAUUAUCCGUGCUCUUUGGGGCGAACAACCCUUGCACUGGAUAAUAAUUUGCAAGAAUGUCUUUCUUACAGCUUCAGUUUCUAGGUCUAAGAUCAGCAAAGGCAGUUCUGUGUAGCUAACUGAUCACCUGACUUAGGAAAAGCAGGAGUAUAUCCUCUCUGGGAAUUCAGGGAACUUGGCUUUGAACUCAAAGGAGGGACGUCGAUAAGCAUGAUUGGCAUAAAGCUUACAAAAUCAAGGCAAACACUUUCAGAUUUCCACAGGGCAAAGCCCCGUAGCAUUCUCAAUCUGGUAUUCAAUAAAUAUCUGUCGAGUGGCUUGCAAUUUCCACGAGGUUUCUAAGAUCUUGCUCAUUAUGUAGAAUUAACUGAACGUAGAUUGCAGUCUCUAUUUGGGAGACAAGGGGUUAAUGAACUGAGCUAUCUAGUACACUCUUUACUGAGGCUCAUGAAGGUUGAUUAAGAAAAACUUAAAUACUUAAAUGAUACUGAGGUUUUAGGAAAGUGUCAGGCGGGAGGGCAAGGUGUGAACAAUAUCCGAAUGAUUAGCCAUUAUGAACUUGAUAAUGCCCAUGACUAAGCUAAUCUAUGACUAUGAAUUGGAAAUCUACACACUCUGGUAGAUUCUUUCAGAUCGUCAGUGUGUAAUUUAAUCACAACGAGGCAGCUAAUUAUUGUUAUGUCCUAUUAUCGUCCUAUUAUCCUGGAAAUUCAUACAUAUUCUAAGCUCUGUUGUCACGCAAUCAAUACCAUGACAUGUUACUACUUAA